CUGAUGAGCUCAAUAUUCAGAAAGGAGCUUUGUCCAGGGCCAUACAUGGGGCCAGAGGUGGUUCCCCGGAUGAUUCUGGGGGAAACAUUUGUCACAAUGUCCUUAUCAAGAGAGAAAGUUUUGGUGAGGGCAAAACCCCAUCCAGCUUCAAAAGCUCUUCGAAUCAUUGAUGUGCUGGUGGCUGGAGUUGCGCUAGCAAGACCAAAAGGAUUUAUAAACUUCAAUCCGGCCAUUUCUACACUAAUG
rnacentral:lncRNA from 1 species